rnacentral:rRNA from 1 species
GAUGAACGCUAGCGGAAGGCUUAAUACAUGCAAGUCGAGCGGUAGGUGGCUUCGGCCAUUGAGAGCGGCGCACGGGUGAGUAACGCGUACAUGACCUGCCUGUCAGAAGGGGAUAGCCCUGGGAAACUGGGAUUAAUACCCUAUGGUAUUGAUAUUAUGAAUGAUAUCAAUUAAAGUUGAGGCGCUGACAGAUGGAUGUGCGUCUGAUUAGCUAGUUGGUAGGGUAACGGCCUACCAAGGCGACGAUCAGUAGGGGGCGUGAGAGCGUGGUCCCCCACACGGGUACUGAGACACGGACCCGACUCCUACGGGAGGCAGCAGUAAGGAAUAUUGGUCAAUGCCCGCAAGGGUGAACCAGCCAUUCCGCGUGGAGGAUGAAGGCCCUAGUGGUUGUAAACUUCUUUUAGAUGGGAAGAAAUGCUAGAUGUAUCUGGUACCGACGGUACCAUCAGAAUAAGCACCGGCUAACUCCGUGCCCAGCAGCCGCGGU